rnacentral:rRNA from 1 species
UACGAAGGGGGCUAGCGUUGCUCGGAAUCACUGGGCGUAAAGCGCACGUAGGCGGAUUGUUAAGUCAGGGGUGAAAUCCUGGAGCUCAACUCCAGAACUGCCUUUGAUACUGAGGAUCUUGAGUCCGGGAGAGGUGAGUGGAACUGCGAGUGUAGAGGUGAAAUGCGUAGAUAUCGUAAGGAAGACCAGUGGCGAAGGCGGGUCUCUAGACAGUUCCUGACGCUGAGGCACGAAGGCCAGGGGAGCAAACGGG